GACGAACGCUGGCGGCGUGCUUAACACAUGCAAGUCGAGCGAUGAAGCUCCUUCGGGAGUGGAUUAGCGGCGGACGGGUGAGUAACACGUGGGUAACCUGCCUCAUAGAGGGGAAUAGCCUUUCGAAAGGAAGAUUAAUACCGCAUAAGAUUGUAGCUUCGCAUGAAGCAGCAACUAGAGGAGUAAUCCGCUAUGAGAUGGACCCGCGUCGCAUUAGCUAGUUGGUGAGGUAACGGCUCACCAAGGCGACGAUGCGUAGCCGACCUGAGAGGGUGAUCGGCCACAUUGGGACUGAGACACGGCCCAGACUCCUACGGGAGGCAGCAGUGGGGAAUAUUGCACAAUGGGGGAAACCCUGAUGCAGCAACGCCGCGUGAGUGAUGACGGUCUUCGGAUUGUAAAGCUCUGUCUUCAGGGACGAUAAUGACGGUACCUGAGGAGGAAGCCACGGCUAACUACGUGCCAGCCGCCGCAGUAA
rnacentral:rRNA from 1 species